UGAGGAAUAUUGCCCAAUGGACGCAAGUCUGAGGCAGCAACGCCGCGUGGGCGAUGAAGGCCUUCGGGUUGUAAAGCCCUUUUCUGGGGGAAGAGGAAGGACGGUACCUCAGGAAUAAGUCACGGCUAACUACGUGCCAGCAGCCGCGGUAAUACGUAGGUGGCAAGCGUUAUCCGGAUUCACUGGGCGUAAAGCGCGUGCAGGCGGUUUCGUAAGUCGGACGUGAAAGCUCCUGGCUUAACUGGGAGAGGUCGUUCGAUACUGCGGGGCUUGAGGUCGGGAGAGGGACGUGGAAUUCCCGGUGUAGUGGUGGAAUGCGUAGAUAUCGGGAGGAACACCAGUGGCGAAGGCGACGUCCUGGCCCGCACCUGACGCUGAGACGCGAAAGCUAGGGUAGCAAACGG
rnacentral:rRNA from 1 species